UACGUAGGUGACCAGCGUUGUCCGGAUUUACUGGGCGUAAAGAGCGCGCAGGCGGUCGUUCAAGUCGAGUGUGAAAGCCCCCGGCUCAACUGGGGAGGGUCAUUCGAUACUGAUCGACUGGAAGGCAGGAGAGGGAAGCGGAAUUCCCGGUGUAGUGGUGAAAUGCGUAGAUAUCGGGAGGAACACCAGUGGCGAAGGCGACUACCUGGCCUGUUUCUUGACGCUGAGGCGCGAAAGCUAGGGGAGCAAACGGG
rnacentral:rRNA from 1 species